rnacentral:tRNA from 1 species
CCAGGACUUCAAAUCUGCUGAGCUGGCUCGCGAGGGGUCUGUGUGGGUU